rnacentral:misc_RNA from 1 species
AUAUGUAAAACCCGGAACCGGAUCAACUGCCGGAAUUAAAUUCCGGACAGCUUCAACAAUUCCGAGAAGGGUGCACAGGGGUAGAGAAUUUGGAUAACCAAGGGGUGCACAUGCCAGGUUACGGCCAGCGACACCCUCAGCUGUUAAAUUCAGUAAUGAUCCUUCCGCAGGUUCACCUACGGAAACCUUGUUACGACUUUUACUUCCUCUAAAUGACCAAGA